UGGGGAAUUUUGGACAAUGGGCGCAAGCCUGAUCCAGCCAUGCCGCGUGCGGGAAGAAGGCCUUCGGGUUGUAAACCGCUUUUGUCAGGGAAGAAAUCUUCUGAGUUAAUACCUCGGGAGGAUGACGGUACCUGAAGAAUAAGCACCGGCUAACUACGUGCCAGCAGCCGCGGUAAUACGUAGGGUGCAAGCGUUAAUCGGAAUUACUGGGCGUAAAGCGUGCGCAGGCGGUUUUGUAAGACAGAGGUGAAAUCCCCGGGCUCAACCUGGGAACUGCCUUUGUGACUGCAAGGCUUGAGUGCGGCAGAGGGGGCAUGGAAUUCCGCGUGUAGCAGUGAAAUGCGUAGAUAUGCGGAGGAACACCGAUGGCGAAGGCAAUCCCCUGGGCCUGCACUGACGCUCAUGCACGAAA
rnacentral:rRNA from 1 species